UCAAACUUCCGGUCUUCGAAAUAAAAGCCAGGGUGACGUACUUGCGGAUUACAUUUCCUCAACUUGCUCCAUGUCGUUAAAACACAUCAUCCAAGCGCGUCUUCAACUCGAGAGUCAAAAGAGUGAACGAGAGUCCUCCAGAAGAUCAACACUAAAGUCAGGCAGCCAGAUCCAACUCUAGAGUUUACACUGAAGAGGACGUUGUGAACGUUUAUAUUCAAGCCUGGGUCAAUUUAGACAUGUACCUUGGGUCACCAGGAUUGAGGCUCACAGGAAGAGUCUCGGCCCAGAGUGGACCCUUGGGUGAGUGAGCAGGAUGAAAGAAACCCAGGAGCCAGCUGGUCAAGCAACAGAGCUCUGUGGUCUUUACUGUGGGGUGAUGCUCACCCUCCUCAGGACCCCCAGCUAACUGCAGGACAGCCCACAUCUCCAUGAGUCCGGCAUUUCGGGGCAUUACUUCAGCCAGCUUAAGCCAUCUUAAGACACCAAAUUGCACUGUAGCCGAACAAUGAUCUAGGGUUAUUUGUCUCAGCGGCUGUUGUUUGGUUCCUUUAACUUAGUCUUCCGUCAGUUUGGGGUGAGGGAGUCAGGAAAUCACGGGGGUAUUUAACAAGGCUUGUGUAAUUGAUUGUGGCAGUUCCUGCCAGCAAACAGCAGGUCCUCGGCCCCUUUCACUGAGCCCAGCAGAGGGCCCGCACUGAUGUGGAUAAGGGAAUUAUCUCUACUCUGGUGACUCGAACUGGAGGACACUGGAAAUUCAAUUAAACCAAUCUAUGUUUUCAGGAUCCAGAGCAGCCUGACUGGGCCAAAGAUUUCUUAAAGGUGC